GGAACUAGUGGCCCCAUGAAAUUACUGAUAGGACGCAUGGAAGGUAGCUCCGUUUUGUACCAUCAAAAUAUGCAGAAGCCAGACAACAUAGUUUAGAUUGAGCCACCAUUAAAAUCGAUAGAGCAAUAUAUCCCCAAGCAACCAGGAGACAGUGAGCAGGUUAGUUAUACACAACAGCAAACCAAUCUGUGAGUAAAGCGACGCUGAGACUCAAACCAACUCUGAUUCCAAGCAAUACUGUUGGUAUGGAAGGGAACACAGAGAAUGGAGUGGAGUUCACAAGAGCCGAUGAAGCCCUAAACAGGCUGCAGAAAACCUUUCCAGUUGAAAGAGAGCCCAGUACCCAGCAGAGAGGCAGAAGUGGAAAAACAGAUAAGCACACUAGGCUACAAACAGUGACGCCCAAGACCAGUUUAUCGUAUAUUGAGACAAUAGUACUUCACCCUACCCCCAAUACAGUCAAGACUCUAUUGUCCCCAAGAACCUGUUGUUCUCUAAGAAGUAACGAUAGAAUUAGCCAAAGCCAAUGAGAUACAUGGACAUUGAAAAGACAAUAUAAAAGAGGAAAUUAGCACGGCUCCGCCAAGUGCCAUAUGGAGAGGGAUUCAGAAUGCUGCUGUCUACAAAAGAGGAUGAUGGGCAUGAUUGGGCAGUGACUUAAAAUGUCUGGAAGUUCAAUACGGUCCCAUUUCAUAUCCUUACUGACCAGAAGGUGACAUCAACAAGGUUGAGACUCUGCCAACCGGUAGGUUCCCACCUUCCUUCAUGUUCUACUGCUUUUAUCUGAAGGUGAGCGGUUUUCAUCUCUUCGGAUUUGGGAGGUGUAUUACAGACACAGUACAUCAAAGGAAACAACACCUAGUAACCUUGUCAAGGAGUUGAAAGACGCUGGACCCAGGUUUGGGUACCGGUUGGGUCUGCCCCCGAAUUCGUUGCAGUAUAGAAUUUCACUCACUGAAGUUGAGUUGCAUUUCAGAGAGACACAAGGCCUGAGGCCGUUGUAAUUGUUCCACUUGCUGUAGACCACAACAUCCCCUCCAAUCAAAGCCCCAAUCUAAUUGAUCUUACCUGGAAUAUCUCUGAUGAUUUAUUGUCUUGCUAAAAGGAUAUGAUAAGUCGAGGGCCUGACGGCUAUCUAUUCGAACCAUUUAUUUUGUGUGUGUGCAGUUUUAAUUAAAAUUCAUGAAGGGUUUGUGCUGAAUUGCAUUGGCUAUAGCUGCGGAUCUCUCUGUGUGCUAUGGUGGUGAGGGUUGGUGAGAAGGAUGGUGAGUCAUGUCAGACAGGAGAGAGUGUUGACAAGGGCAGAGAAUUCACAUCCCAGUGUUUAUCACCAUCUCUCAUCUGCAUCUGGAGCCACUUCUACAGUACUGUCUGUUGGCACCAAGACCCCAGUGUCCGGUCUGGAGCGUGAAGUCACAAGCUCUGCUGGUCGGCUACUACGUAACAACCUAGCGGUGCCAAAAGCCUUGGUUUGCGCUAGAAAUCCUAUGUACAUUUUAAUGUCUAUGGGUGGCAGGGUAAGCAGUUGUGUUUUGGGUCCGCAUCAAAUAGCACUGACUGGAUUUAUGAUGACUGAUAAUGUCUGGAUCGUCAACUAGUAAUGUCUAGAUCAGGGAUGAGCAACUCUGGACUUUGAGGCCUGUGUGUCUGCUGGAUUUUGUUCUUUUUUUCAAAUCAGUGUCUGGUUAAGACCUGGGAAACCAGGAGCGUGCAAUUUGGGGUCAUGUACGGAUCAAAAUAGUGCCGGGAAUAAAAUACAACCAGCAGACACUCAAGCAGCUGAGGAGGGGAGUUACCCAUGCUUAGGGCUCUAUUCAAUCUGUAACACUGCAUUGUUGGUUAAGGGCUUGUAAGUAAGCAUUUCACGGCAAGGUCUACAGCUGUUGUAUUUGGCGCAUGUGACAAAUACAUUUGAUUUGAUUUGAUUCCGCGAUAGAAACGUAAAGAUAAUUUCCGGUUAAGCUGACAUGUGCAGCGUUUACCCGUGAACGCGGUCUCCGAUCAAGCUGGAACAUUGCCAUUGAAUUUCAAUCACCCUGUAAAGCUGAACCUCCGCUACGCGGCUUGAAGAGAGCCCCAAGUCUAGAUCUACAGCAACUAGAUCUACAGCAACUAGAUCGACAUUAACUAGCUUUACUGUGGGUAACCAAAAAUGUUCUGUACCUGAAAAGUUCUUGUUGUUGGAUGCAAAUCGAAUCACACGUACGCGAGUGUGCGCGUACACACACACUUUCUAAGUUACCCUCAAACUAUUUUGCACCUACGCGAAGUUGAACGCAGUAUUACACUUUGGGUGGGACUGCAUCCAUAAAUGCAUGUUUCCUGUACGACACCAAGGUUAGGUCCUAGAUGCCCAAUAAUGACUGUAGUGUCAUUGCAACACCUGACCUUGAGUCUGAGUACCAACACAUCUCUCCUUACAUGCAUUUCAACCCAGAAGAGCUGUUUGUUUGUCAGCAACCAUAGGUCUCUAUGUCUCUUUCUGGAUCCAACUGGCCAGACUUCGACUGCAUUAUUCAUCAAACACAGACACACAGAGAAUGGAUUCCUGUGGACUGCUACUCACAUAAGUAACAAGAUUUAUGAGUCCCUCUUUAGGUUAUAAUUCAAAGUUCAUCCUCACAUACAUCAUAUUUUGAAGCACAUAGAUUAUGAGAGAGAGCACAUUUAUCAUAUGACAGGGCGCACAUACCCAGGCACACACAGACGUGCACACAGACGUGCGCACACACACACACACACCAACAAAUGGACACACACACAGACACACACCAACAAAUAUACACACACCAACAAACAUUCACACACACACUUGGUUCCCCCAUCCCCCACAAUUCAAAUUUUAUUCUCCUCCUCUGAAGCGUUAAAGUGCCUGAGCUUUUUGUUCACAAUCAGAUGAGACAGGAACGCUCUGAACAAGAACGCUUUACUAUAUACUGCCC
rnacentral:lncRNA from 1 species